rnacentral:rRNA from 1 species
UUAGGUUAAGUUAUUAAGGGCGUAUGGUGGAUGCCUUGGCACUAGGAGCCGAUGAAGGACGUGACUAACUGCGAUAUGCUUCGGGGAGUUGUAAGUAAACUAUGAUCCGGAGAUUUCCGAAUGGGGAAACCUAACAGGUUUUACCGCCUGUUAUCACUAAGUGAAUUCAUAGCUUAGUUGAAGGUAGACGUGGGGAACUGAAACAUCUAAGUACCCACAGGAAGAGAAAGAAAUUCGAUUCCCUCAGUAGCGGCGAGCGAACCGGGAAGAGCCCAAACUAAGAAGCUUGCUUCUUAGGGUUGUAGGACUGAACAUCUGAGUUACCAAGAAAUGAAGUAGUUGAAUAAUCUGGGAAGAUUAGCCAAAGAGAGUGAUAGCCUCGUAAGCGAAACUUCGUUUCCUCAGUUCAGGAUCCUGAGUACGGCGGAACACGUGAAACUCCGUCGGAAUCCGGGAGGACCAUCUCCCAAGGCUAAAUACUACCUAGUGACCGAUAGUGAACCAGUACCGUGAGGGAAAGGUGAAAAGCACCCCGGGAGGGGAGUGAAAUAGUUCCUGAAACCAUAUGCCUACAAGUAGUCAGAGCUCGUUAAUGAGUGAUGGCGUGCCUUUUGUAGAAUGAACCGGCGAGUUACGUUAGCGUGCGAGGUUAAGGAGGAAAGUCCGGAGCCGUAGCGAAAGCGAGUCUGAAUAGGGCGAGAUAGUACGUUGACGUAGACCCGAAACCAGGUGACCUACCCAUGUCCAGGUUGAAGGUGCGGUAAAACGCACUGGAGGACCGAACCCGUGUAUGUUGAAAAAUGCUGGGAUGAGGUGUGGGUAGAGGUGAAAUUCCAAACGAACUUGGAGAUAGCUGGUUCUCUCCGAAAUAGCUUUAGGGCUAGCCUCGGAGUUAAGAAUCGUGGAGGUAGAGCACUGUUUGGACUAGGGGCCCGUCUUGGGUUACUGAAUUCAGAUAAACUCCGAAUGCCACAGAUUUAUAUCCGGGAGUCAGACUGCGAGUGAUAAGAUCCGUAGUCGAAAGGGAAACAGCCCAGACCACCGAUUAAGGUCCCAAAAUAUGUGUUAAGUGGAAAAGGAUGUGGAAUUGCAUAGACAACUAGGAUGUUGGCUUAGAAGCAGCCACCAUUUAAAGAGUGCGUAAUAGCUCACUAGUCGAGUGAUCCUGCGCCGAAAAUGUAACGGGGCUAAACACAUUACCGAAAUCGUGGAUGUACCGUAAGGUACAUGGUAGGAGAGCGUUCUAAGGACGGCGAAGCUAGACCGUAAGGACUGGUGGAGUGCUUAGAAGUGAGAAUGCCGGUAUGAGUAGCGAAAGAUCAGUGAGAAUCUGGUCCACCGUAUGACUAAGGUUUCCUGGGGAAGGCUCGUCCUCCCAGGGUUAGUCGGGACCUAAGCCGAGGCCGAGAGGCGUAGGCGAUGGAUAACAGGUUGAGAUUCCUGUACUGGUUAAACUUGUUUGAACAAUGGAGGGACGCAGGAGGCUAUUGAUGCGUACUGUUGGAUAUGUACGUUCAAGCAACAAGUCUGUAGGUGAGUCAAAUGCUUAUCUACUUAAGGACAAGUUGUGAUGAGGAGCGAAAUUUAGUAGCGAAGUGAGAGACGUCACACUGCCAAGAAAAGCUUCUAGUUAGAGUUUAAUCACCCGUACCGCAAACCGACACAGGUAGUCGAGGCGAGUAGCCUAAGGUGAGCGAGAGAACUCUCGUUAAGGAACUCGGCAAAAUGACCCCGUAACUUCGGGAGAAGGGGUGCUGAGCGCAAGCUCAGCCGCAGUGAAUAGGCCCAGGCGACUGUUUAUCAAAAACACAGGUUUCUGCAAAAUCGUAAGAUGAAGUAUAGGGGCUGACGCCUGCCCGGUGCUGGAAGGUUAAGAGGAUGGGUUAGCGUAAGCGAAGCUCAGAAUUGAAGCCCCAGUAAACGGCGGCCGUAACUAUAACGGUCCUAAGGUAGCGAAAUUCCUUGUCGGGUAAGUUCCGACCCGCACGAAAGGCGUAACGAUCUGGGCACUGUCUCAACGAGAGACUCGGUGAAAUUAUA